rnacentral:rRNA from 1 species
AUUGAACGCUGGCGGCAUGCCUAACACAUGCAAGUCGAACGGGGCAGCAAUGCCUAGUGGCGGACGGGUGAGGAAUACGUAGGAAUCUGCCCUUAAGUGGGGGAUAACCAGGGGAAACCCUGACUAAUACCGCAUGAUCUCUUCGGAGCAAAAAGGGGGACCGCAAGGCCUCUCGCUUCUGGAUGAGCCUACGUCUGAUUAGCUAGUUGGUAGGGUAAAGGCCUACCAAGGCGACGAUCAGUAACUGGUCUGAGAGGAUGAUCAGUCACACCGGAACUGAGACACGGUCCGGACUCCUACGGGAGGCAGCAGUGGGGAAUAUUGGACAAUGGGCGCAAGCCUGAUCCAGCCAUGCCGCGUGUGUGAAGAAGGUCUUCGGAUUGUAAAGCACUUUAAGUCGGGAGGAAGGGCUGCAGGUUAAUACCUUGCAGCCUUGACGUUACCGACAGAAUAAGCACCGGCUAACUUCGUGCCAGCAGCCGCAGUAACAC